rnacentral:tRNA from 1 species
GGGAGUGGAUGGUGCCUGGUGGUGCUCCUGGUCUUCAAAACCAGCCGCGGGGCGGCGAUCCCGUCCCUGGUGGGUUCGAUUCCCACACACUCCCGCCA